GGAAGUGAGUCACAAGAAUAGGAGUUGCUCUUAGUUCAAUAUCUACCUCCACUGUUAACCAGUCCACCGCCGUGACCGCCGUUGAAAUCACCAGAGGUGUGCAGUUACUAUCGUUCAUGAUGCAGUGUGUUGUUACAAGCGUUCAGAGAGGGAAUGGAUUCUCUCCCGUGGGUCAAAAAACUGGAGGAAAUAAUGUUGAGACUUAUAAUAAGGGACAGACAAAGUACAUUGUAAUGGAAACUACCCAAAUAGUUGAAGAAGAUGUUGUGAUUGUGGGAGCUGGAAUUGCUGGCCUUACUACAGCCUUAGGACUUCACAGGU